rnacentral:rRNA from 1 species
UACGGGGGGAGCAAGCGUUGUUCGGAAUUACUGGGCGUAAAGCGUGCGCAGGCGGCUUUGCAAGACAGAUGUGAAAUCCCCGGGCUCAACCUGGGAACUGCAUUUGUGACUGCAUGGCUGGAGUGCGGCAGAGGGGGAUGGAAUUCCGCGUGUAGCAGUGAAAUGCGUAGAUAUGCGGAGGAACACCGAUGGCGAAGGCAAUCCCCUGGGCCUGCACUGACGCUCAUGCACGAAAGCGUGGGGAGCAAACAGG